AUGAAUUUUGGAGUUCUACUGUGCCUGCCGUUCAUUCGGAUGUGUGCACGUAGUCUCUAUAAAUCCUUAUCAACACCUGUGCACCUUUAAAAAGGGGGGAGUCUGAUUAAGCAUUUUUAUGAUGCUUAUGACGAAUAACCUCUUUUCUUAUACAAACUCUUUUAAUGUCUAUUAGAAUGUUCUCUGGCCGCAAGGCUAUAAAAUAUAAA
rnacentral:misc_RNA from 1 species